rnacentral:lncRNA from 1 species
GGAGCCAGCGCUUGUGCCCAGACAUGGCCAGGCUCUGGCCGAGGCCUUCGGUGUAGAGAACAGACUUGGAUGUGUUUGCCACUACAUCGGUCAGCGUGUUCUGAGGUCCAGUGGAGCAGCUCGAUGACCACAACUUCUGGAAGCUGAGUAGGGGCAGGGGUGGCCAUGAGUCAUGGGUUUAGGAGCAGGGUAGGGGGACCCAAAGGGCCGUUGGCGCCCCCAUCAGGGACGACCUGAGAACCCCUGUGCACCACACAUGGCCGACAAAGCCUGUGGGAUCUGGGGUACCCCUGGGGUCGGUGGAGGGACAUGGAGCUCUGUACCUGCCCGUACCACCCGGUGUGCCCUCCUCAGCCCAGGGAAUGAGCCCGGUCAGACCUGCCCGGGGACGGCCCUCCAGGGCUUCUCCCCUUCCCUUCCCUCUGGUGUUCAUCCUCGCGGUCACCAGGGAUCUGGGGGACCCCAGCCCCCCCGUAGCUGCUUCCAGCCUUCUUAGUCCUCAUAAGACGUGUACCUCAGCCCUCAGGGGCCCAUGGGCACAGAGUGAGGGUGGCACACGCCAGCCCAAGCCCAUCCGCCCACCGGGCCACAAGGAAGACCCUGUGGAGGUGCUGGGGCCACACAACCCACUUCCAGGUGACAAAUGCCCCGAGGGCUCGGCGAAUCAGGCAGCAGGGAGCAGAGGACACAGGUGUAACUCUGUGCAGGGAAAUAGCACGUUCGGUGUCAUGUGAAUGCUUGAGACAUGGAAGGACGUGGGGAAUUUGUGUGUGUGUGUGUGUGUGUGCGCGCGUGCGCACACGCGUGAGCCCCCAUGUGGGUGACUAGGGACUGACCCCAGGGCCUUUGCACUGAGCUAUACCCCCCACACUUUCUCUAUUUUUAUUUUGAGACAGACCUGGCCCAGUGCUGGGAGGGUCCACUGCAUGGUGACCCCAGGUCCUCCCCUGUCACUGGCUGCCAUGAGCCCAGGCUGUGGCCAUGGUGAUCCCAGUGCUCCUCCACCCUUGGCACAUGCUGGCUCUGCCACCCACCUCAUGGUCAGCCUAGUGCUCACCAGAUGGUGCUCCCAGCCACCCCACCCCAGGUCCCUGUCUCCUCAGCAGAUGCCAGGGCCCCAAGAGGAGCUGGGUCCCCCCAAGACUUCUGAAGUCUCCGAGGGAGCAGGAGUCUCUGUGCUGGGGGCGACAGAAGCGUGGGUUCACCCUGAGUGUCCACACCAGGAUACACAGAGCCAUGAAGGCCGCGGUGGGCAGCAGAGGUCUCCAGGCUGCAGUGGGGAAAGGAUGGAAGCAGCUGACCUGCACCGUGGUGACCACCGCACUGCCGCAGGAGUCCCAGCCCAGAUGCCCACACUGGACAUUCAGCCUGAGGAAUGGACCCUGCCCAGCCACUUGCCACAGUCCCUGGCCAUCAGCUCAGGUCCCCUGGCCAUGGGGUCCCCUGCAAAGGUGCCAGUCCCCACCUGA